UUGCCUGAAAAGUUUUGCAUGGAAUAAUGGAAUAGGACUUCGGUUCUAUUUCGUUGGUUUUCGGAUCCGAAGUAAUGAUCAAAAGAGACAGGCGGGGACGUUUGUAUGGCUGCGCUAGAGGUGAAAUUCAUGGACCGUAGCCAGACAAACUAAAGCGAAAGCAUUCGUCAAGCAUGUUUUCAUUGGCCAUGAGCGAAAGUCAGAGGCUCGAAGACGAUCAGAUACCGUCCUAGUUCUGACCAUAAACGAUGCCAACUGACGAUCCGUGGUGGUAGUUAACAAACCUUCCCCACGGGCAGUCCCCGGGAAACCUUUAAGUCUUUGGGUUCCGGGGGAAGUAUGGUUGCAAAGCUGAAACUUAAAGGAAUUGACGGAAGGGCACCACCAGGAGUGGAGCCUGCGGCUUAAUUUGACUCAACACGGGAAAACUCACCCGGGCCGGACACUAUGAGGAUUGACAGAUUGAUAGC
rnacentral:rRNA from 1 species